rnacentral:rRNA from 1 species
AUUGAACGCUGGCGGCAGGCCUAAUACAUGCAAGUCGAACGGUAACAUAAAAGAAGCUUGCUUCUUUUGAUGACGAGUGGCGGACGGGUGAGUAAUAUUUGGGAAACUACCUGAUAGAGGGGGGACAACAGUUGGAAACGACUGCUAAUACCGCAUAAAGCCUGAGGGUGAAAGCAGCAAUGCGCUAUCAGAUGUGCCCAAACGGGAUUAGCUAGUAGGUGAGGUAAAGGCUCACCUAGGCGACGAUCUCUAGCUGGUCUGAGAGGAUGAUCAGCCACAUUGGGACUGAGACACGGCCCAGACUCCUACGGGAGGCAGCAGUAGGGAAUAUUGCACAAUGGAGGAAACUCUGAUGCAGCCAUGCCGCGUGUGUGAAGAAGGCCUUCGGGUUGUAAAGCACUUUCGGAGGGGAGGAAAAGAUGACGUUACCCUCAGAAGAAGCACCGGCUAACUCCGUG